ACGUCGGUGAGAAGAUAAUGGGCCAGAGCCGCGCCGACUCUACAAAACACUUCUGGCUGACAGACGCUUUUUCUCUCUGGGCCGAUCUCGGCUGAGAGCUGUUGUACGUGCGGCAGGUCCGCACUUGGUGUAGUUGUGUGUAUCUAUCUUCGGCCCGAGCUGGUUUUGUCUCCGGCGGCCGCUGCUAGAAUGAAGAUCAGCCGCUGAGAGAGAUUUGGCGGUUAAUCCUGAGGAGAUUUCGGCGGGCACAGUUCUCAAGAGGAAUACUUCAGCUGCAAAAAGGUAAAUUAAGUUAUUUAAUGAUCAGUCUAGUGUUGUUUGAUGUUUAAAUGUCACGAAGAGUAUAGUUUUUAGAUGGUUUCUGUUAGGUUUGCGAUGAUAAUAGCGUCAGAAAAACCAUUAGGUCCGGGAUAUGUUGAGUAACGUAACGUUAGCUGUUAGGCGCGGUCUCUUUAGGAAAACGAUAUGUAAUUUUUUAAUAUGAAAAACCGAUGAGCUGUAUCCAGUGCAGUCCAUGUUAGGUGAUUAAAUUUUAAUGAGUUAAAUUCUAUUUUGUUUGCUAGAAUUCAUUCGAUUCGUCUUUUUCAACGAGUGAUUGCUAUUGAAUCAAAGGAGUCGGACUGCGCUGGUGGCGCCAUAAACAUCUACACGAGUGACUCUCUGAUUCGAUUCACUGAACCAUUCAAAUGAGUCAUUUGUGAAUCAAACUGAGCACGCUGUUGUAGCAUUACACCUGCUAAGACAAUUCAAUAUGUGCAAUCUGAAUUUAAUAAUAAUGUUUAUUUUGUGGUAACACUGCCGUGUGGGAAGCUCUGACAGAGAAAAACGAUACGUAAGAGAGAGCCGUAAAAUAAAUUCUGAGCUGCUGCAUGAACAUUCAUCAAACAUAAGGCUGCAAUUUGGAAGAAAACCUUUCAAGCUAAUGCUGCUGAAAUGGAGGUCAAGGGGACUAUGAAGAGGUGGCUCCAGCUGAUCAAACACACUCUGUUACAGUAAUCAGCUGAUCCAGUCGGUAUCCAGACCAGACGGUGGACCUGCACCCAGGAACGACCACACCACAUCCCUGACUGUCAGCGGAGAUCAUGUCAGCUAGAUCACAGAUCCCUGUGAAGACCUCAUUGAUGGCCCCAGCACAGAUCCUCAGCAAAGACUACGAGAACCAGACAAGCCCUCUGUGCAGACCCUUUUUACCAGCUUCACCUGCUGGCGUGAUAUUACUUCAAGCAGAAGAAGUUGGAUGAAAUAUUCUGAAUGAUAUCAAUCCACAAUCUGACUUGUGAUGCAGCCUGGAAUAAUCACACCACGUUGAUUCGUUUGGCCAGAGGAGACUGUUUCCUGACUGAGCCGGGUCUUGUUUGGGUUCCUUGUCACUGUUGCCUUUUGUCUUGCUUGGUUGAAGACACCUAAUAUUCAGCAAUAUUAUUGACUUGACUGCACUGACACCAUUUGAUAAGAACUGAACUGAAUUAUGACACACAAUGUUUUAUAUAUGAAGAGUUUAUUUGCAAAAACAGAUAACUCCUUUUU